GUCGCUAUGGUGAAAUUGGUAUACACGUACGCUUGAGGUGCGUAUGCCGCAAGGCGUGGAGGUUCAAGUCCUCUUAGCGACACCA
rnacentral:tRNA from 1 species